CCUACGGGAGGCAGCAGUGGGGAAUAUUCCACAAUGGGGGAAACCCUGAUGCAGCGACGCCGCGUGCGUGAAGAAGUAUUUCGGUAUGUAAAGCUCUAUCAGCAGGGAAGAAAAUGACGGUACCUGAUUAAGAAGCCCCGGCUAACUACGUGCCAGCAGCCGCGGUAAUACGUAGGGGGCAAGCGUUCUCCGGAUUUACUGGGGGUAAAGGUAGCGUAGACGGGAGCACAAGUCUGGAGUGAAAUGCCGGGGAUUAAACCCGGAACUGCUUUGGAUACUGGGCAGCUAGAGUGAAGUAGAGGUAAGUGGAAUUCCUAGUGUAGCGGUGAAAUGCGUAGAUAUUAGGAAGAACACCAGAGGCGAAGGCGGCUUACUGGAUUUAAACUGACGUUGAGGGUCGAAAGCGUGGGGAGCAAACAGGAUUAGAUACCCUGGUAGUC
rnacentral:rRNA from 1 species